GGUGCUAUAGUGUAGUGGUUAUCACUCGGGAUUUUGAUAUCUAGAUUGGCCUUCCCGAAACCCAGGUUCGAACCCUGGUAGCACCU